AAACGGGCGAGUUUUCUCUCCAUUUUCGGGCAAAUGUGAGUUUUUGCCCUCCCCUUGAUGAUUUUAUGAUUUUCUUUCAAAUCCUUGAAUAUUUUCACGAGUUUUCUCUUGUCUUUGAAGAUCUAAGCUUAAACCCGAGUUUUUGAAGCCUUGGAGACCGUUUGACUCAUCUCCACGUUGGGGUUGCUGUCACUCCUAGAUCUUCAAGAGGAUCGGACCUGAGAUAUCGAAGAGACCAGCAGUGAGUCAGCUACUUCAGUGUCAGUCAAAACGUCAGCCAGAGGUUUGCAGGAUCAGAGUUAGCUCGGGAAGUCGGCUUGAGGCGGGUAUAGUUUAUGUAAUAGAUAGUAAUGGACAUGUAAUUUUUAAUGGAAUAGAUUUGUGUUUUGCCCUAAUUUAUGUUGUUAAUCCCAGUGAACAUGUUUUUAUGUAAAAGUUUUUAUAAUGAGUUAUGUUGAACCAAACUUGAUCUAUGUGAUGUUGACCAUACUAGAGCAUUUGAUGAGAGCUCUAGUAUGGGUU